UCAAUUUAAUCGUGAUUGUUUACUAAAAAUAUAAGUUGACAGAAAUUUACUUGUGUGUAGAUGAUUUUCAGUUAUCUGAAAAUAAUAUCUACAUGGAUUACUGACUAUGGGAUUUGUUUUCUUAUCCUGUAAGUUUAUAUAUGUAUCCAACCUUUCCAUAGUGACUUUUCUGCCUCCUAUACAGUUACUACUAUAGAGACCCCAACUAUUCAAAUAUUGAGAUAACAUAUAAUAAUGAAGAGAAAGGUAGUUAAUUUUAUGUAAAUGUUUUGAUGCUUGAUAUAUAAUACGUAAGAGUAAAUACAAGUUUAAGUGGCUUAAUUCUACCUGUGAAAAAUAAGGGAAGAGAUGUCCUACCUUUCCUUUUUUUUAGACAUUUACUUUAGAAAAUUUGUGGUUAUUUUCCUUCCAUCUCUUUAAAAUGUAUGUAAAUCUUUUUAAAGGCUAAAUAAGCCCCUUGUCAUUUUUACAAUCUGGGAAUGUCUUUCUCUAGGACCUGGGAGUCCUCUCUGAAAUGUAAUCAUUAAAGAAGAUAGUACUCCUAUAUCCCAAUUUCUGUGGGCAGGUAGGAGGAGCCCAACCUUGGCCAACUUGCAGAACUACCUCCUGUUAUAAAGCAUCAACUAAACGGUUACUAAAUGGCCAUAAGAGUCUGUGUCAGUAGGAAUCUGGAAACCUGGGAUCUCCUCCAACCGUACUAAGUGCUAACUGGAACUUCUCAUUAAGAAUAUAACUCCAAGAAGGUAGAGAUUUUUACCUGUUUGUUCACUCUUGAAUCUUCAGUGCCAAAACACAAGCAUAUAAUGCCUUUGAAAAUAAAGCAAUUUUCCAUGAUACACUAUUUGCAUCCUGCUGAGAACAAGUGUGUAUUGAGAAUAAAAACAUGCCAAACAUAAGGAAAGUUGCCCUUUGUCUGAAUCUUGAGCCUUUUGAAAUUAAACUAUGAAAUUAAUUGAUUCACAAAUAUUACUAUGUGCCAACAGAAUUAAAAGAUCGUGAUUAAUUUCUUGAAGUCAGAAUCACAUGCUGACCUUUAUAUAUGUAUAUGAAGAGGAUGCUACCUGCUGUCCUUCCUUUCUAGAGCAUAUAAUUUAAAUAGUUUAAUGAAAACUUAUUAAAAACCAACUGUUGGGGC